GAUGAAGAACGUAGCGAAAUGCGAUAAGUAAUGUGAAUUGCAGAAUUCAGUGAAUCAUCGAAUCUUUGAACGCACAUUGCGCCCGCCAGUAUUCUGGCGGGCAUGCCUGUCCGAGCGUCAUUUCAACCCUCGAACCCCUCCAGGGGGUCGGCGUUGGGGAUCGGCCCUUUCACCGGGUGCCGGCCCCUAAAUACAGUGGCGGUCUCGCCGCAGCCUCUCAUGCGCAGUAGUUUGCACACUCGCACCGGGAGCGCGGCGCGUCCUCGUCCGUAAAACACCCCAAACUUCUGAAAUGUUGACCUCGGAUCAGGUAGGAAUACCCGCUGAACUUAAGCAUAUCAAUAAGCGGAGGA
rnacentral:misc_RNA from 1 species